AGAGCGAACGCUGGCGGCAGGCCUAAUACAUGCAAGUCGAGCGGCCACUUCGGUGGCAGCGGCGGACGGGUGAGUAACGCGUGGGAAUGUGCCCUUUGGUACGGAACAACUGAGGGAAACUUCAGCUAAUACCGUAUGUGCCCUUCGGGGGAAAGAUUUAUUGCCAUUGGAGCAGCCCGCGUUGGAUUAGCUAGUUGGUGGGGUAAAGGCCCACCAAGGCGACGAUCCAUAGCUGGUCUGAGAGGAUGAUCAGCCACACUGGGACUGAGACACGGCCCAGACUCCGUACGGGAGGCAGCAGUAGGGAAUCUGCGCAAGUGGGACAAAGCCUGACGCAGCCAUCGCCGCGUGAAUGAUGAAGUCUUAGGAUUAGUAAAUUCUUACGACGGG
rnacentral:rRNA from 1 species